CUGUAGCUCAAUGGUAGAGCAUCUGUUUUGUACUCAGAUGGUUAAGGGUUCAAAUCCUUUCAGA
rnacentral:tRNA from 1 species